AUGGCCCCAAAUGGACCCCAAAGUGACCCCAAUAUGGUGGCUAUAGACGACACAUCAUUGUGGGGUGAAAACAAGCAGUUUUGGGGCUGUCUAUGGGGUGGAGACAUUGAAACAUUGGGAUAUGGGGUUAUGGGGGUCAUUGGGAUCAAUGGGAUCAAUGGGGUCAAUGGGAUCUUUAAUGGGGUCAAUGGGGUCAAUGGGGUCAAUGGGGUCUAUGGGGUCAAUGGGAUCAAUAGGGUCAAUGGGAUCAAUAGGGUCAAUGGGGUCAAUAGGAUCAAUAGGGUCAAUGGGGUCUAUAGGGUCUAUGGGGUCUAUGGGAUCAAUGGGGUCAAUAGGGUCAAUAGGGUCAAUGGGGUCAAUGGGGUCAUUGGGGUCAAUGGGAUCAAUGGGGUCAAUGGGGUCAAUAGGGUCACUGGGGUCUAUAGGGUCAAUAGGGUCAAUGGGGUCAAUGGGGUCAAUGGGGUCUAUAGGGUCAAUGUGGGGGGUCCAUCAUGGCGCCCCCCCCUCGGGGUGGGCGGCCAUCAGCAGUGGGAGGAGCAACGGUGUAGCGCCGUCACCGGAACCGGAAGUAACAUCGGAACCGGAAGCAACACCGGAACCGGAAGUAACACCGGAAGUGGAACCGGAACCGGAAGUGGUACCGGAACCGGAAGCGGCGCCAUCUCGGUCCGGGCGCAGCACUCGGUUAUGGAGGCGGCUGUAACGGCGGGCACAGAGACUGCGGGGGGACAGGGGUGGGACAGACCAGUAUGAACCGGUAUAAACCGGUAUAAACCAGUAUGAACCAGUAUGAACCGGUACAGACCGGUAUGAACCAGUAUGAACCAGUAUGAACCAGUAUGAACCAGUACAGACCAGUAUGGACCAGUAUGAACCAGUAUGAACCAGUACAGACCAGUAUGAACCAGUACGAACCAGUACAGACCAGUAUGGACCAGUAUGAACCAGUAUAAACCAGUACAGACCAGUAUGAACCAGUAUGAACCGGUUUAAACCAGUAUGAACCAGUAUAAACCAGUAUGAACCGGUACGACCCAGUAUGAACCGGUACAGACCAGUAUGGACCAGUAUGAACUGGUACAAACCAGUAUAAACCACUACAAACCAGUACUAACCAGUAUGAACCAGUUCGGACCAGUACAGACCAGUAUUAACCAGUAUGGACCAGUAUGGAACAGUAUGAACCACUACAAACCAGUACUAACCAGUAUGAACCAGUUCGGACCAGUACGAACCAGUACAGACCAGUAUGAAUCAGUAUAAACCAGUAUGAACCAGUACGGACCAGUAUAAACCAGUAUGAACCAGUACACACCAGUCUCUCCUUGUCCAUCCCAUCCCAUUCCAUACCCCAUAUCCCAUUACCCCCCAUUACACCCCAUUACACCCCAUUACACACCAAUAUGGCCGCCGCUCAUAGAGAGACCCCAUUGGGACCCAUAGAGACCCAUAGAGACCCAUAGGGACCCAUAGCGACCCAUAGGGACCCAUAGCGAUCCAUAGAGACCCAUAGAGACACAUAGGGACCCAUAGAGACCCAUAGCGACCCAUAGAGACACAUAGGGACCCAUAGAGACCCAUAGAGACCCAUAGAGACCCAUAGAGACCCAUAGCAACCCAUAGAGACCCAUAGAGAACCAUAGAGACCCAUAGGGACCCAUAGGGACCCAUAGAGACCCAUAUCCCAUCCCAUAUCCCAUCCCAUAUCCCAUAUCCCAUACCCCAUUACCCCCCAUUACCCCCCAUCUCACCC
ensembl:lncRNA